GUGUGCAAAUGAGAUGACUGGGGGCUGGGGAUGCCUGGACAGCCUCAGGAUGGAGCAGGUCACCAGAGGAACCAGCCAUGUGCAUAGAGGGUUGGAACUUGUGGUCCCAUCCCCAACCUCUAGGGAGGGGAGAAGGCUGAAGGUCAAGUUGAUCACCAGUGGACAGUGAUUUAACAAAUCAUGCCUACAUGAUAGCCUCCAUAAAAACCCAAAAGGACAGAGUUCAGAGAGCUUCUGGUUGGCCGGAAAAGAGGCAUAAACUUGGAGAACCCAAGACCCCGGCCUGGCGUGCAGCCCCAGCAGCCAGACCAGCCUUGGGCAACAGCGUGCGACGUUCAGCUGUCUGCGUCUUCAGUGCUCCCAUUCCAUCGCAACUGAGUGAGGGAUUUGGGAGGUAAAACAGGCAAAUAAUGAAAUACACAAAUCUUCAUUGUGCAAUUUUGAUCAGUUGCUUCUCCUAUGCAACCCUCACCCCAAUAGAGACACAGCCUCUCAUCGGAACGCUCCUGCACACCCUUCUCAGCAACCCCCACCACCUGCCCCCCACUCCCGACCAGAGCAGCCACCAUCCUGGUGUCUCCCAUCAGAGGGAAGUGUGGUCUCCCGACCAGAGCAGCCACCGUCCUGGUGUCUCCCAUCAGAGGGAAGUGUGGUCUCCCGACCAGAGCAGUCACCGUCCUGGUGUCUCCCAUCAGAGGGAAGUGUGGUCUCCCGACCAGAGCAGCCACCGUCCUGGUGUCUCCCAUCAGAGGGCUGAGCGUGCGUUCGAGCUUCUCCUGCAUCAUGACCAGGGUGCUCCGGGACACCUUGUCCACAUCUGUGUCCACCAGUCCUGCUCAGAAUCUCCCCAGGGGUUUUCCACGAUGCCCAUCCAGGCGUCACCCUCACUCUAGGCCAGGAGGAGACGCCAUGCCCUGAGGAUUCAGCCUCUUCUUCUUCAUCCCUCCCAGCACCCAGUGUGUUGGGUGCACACAGUAGGUGCCCCAUAAGUAUCAUAAGACCACAAUGUGUUGGGUGCACACAGGUACCCCAUAAGUGUCGGAAGACCACAGUGCUCCUAGUGUCCUGCUCCUAAACACUGCACUACUCACUAUGCAACAUGGUUUGCACAGCUCUUCAAGGGAGAAAAACAAACUUCUCAGAACUCUCCAACAAAAUACAAAUGUUUUGGUAUUGAAUAUAUUGUAUUUAACUCAAAGCAUUGGAUGCUGUCAGGCUGGCCAGGUGAUAUUUAUGAAGAGUCUUACAGGCAUUUGUUGUCCCAACAUUCUACUUCUGGGAAUUUAUCCAAGGGAAAUAAUUCAAAAUGCAGAAAAACUGUGGCCAAAAAUAUUCAUUGUAGUAUAGCAUUAUUAGUCCUAGUGAAAAAUGUACAUCAACCAAAUGUCUAAUAGGGAGGUUAUUAAGUGGUUGUGGUAAAUUCUCUGAAUGUAUGGUCAUGGAGAAAGAGAGAAUAACAUUCAUCAAGAAUUAAUAACAUUCCAUCCAUGAGUUAUGAUAAAGUAAUCUGUGAUAAUUCUGUUCUAAAAGAUAUAAAAUUAUAUAUAUGACAUAUAAGCCCAACGAUUUUUUUCCUUGAACUACAAUAUAAGAGUUCUUAAGGGAAAUAUGGCAAAAUGUUCAAGGAUGGUUUGUGGUUUCUCUGGGUGAUGGGACUCUAGGUGAUUUCUUUUACAUUUUUUUUCCUAUCAUGAGUGUAUUACAAUGGAAACUUCCAACGGGACGCCGGCCCCACCCUGUGUGCUGGUUUCUACGGCUCCCUGUCAUGUCCUCCGCACCCUCUCCUCUCCCCUGAAUACAGUUCCUAGAGACCUUGAGUCCACAGCCCUGGGGCUCUGCACACUGCGGGUCCGGUGGUGUCUCCAGUGCUGUGUGGAUGACUUCCCCGCGUGUUUCCCCCUCUACACAGUUGAGGAACAGAGAAGAUCUCCACUUGCCAACGGACACAGCGCUAGUGAAGCCAAUUAUUGCUACAUCCACUGAUAAAGUUCGGGGGGAAUUAAAUUUUUUGGUCCAUGGAUGCAAAUCGCCUCCAGGCACCUUUACUGUCUCAGUGCUCUCCUCAGGAGGCUGCUGUUGGUGGCCAGGGAUUUUGCCAUAGCAAAGUUCUCACAGAUUCCCAAACAAUAGCACUUAGCUGUCUGCCUCUCUGGCAGGAGGAUGGACAUUCGCAGCUUUGGACUCACUUUCUUCCAAAUAUGAACACUUUCAAAGACAGGGAUCUGCCAAUGACUUUACCAGGAGGGCCUUGCCGGAGCUGUCACCACUGUGGCAUGCAAGAAAGCAAGAGUCCUCCAGGAAGCCGGCCAAGAGGCGCCUUCUCUUAGGCCAAACAUGGGCAACAUGAGAAUAAGAAUACACAAAAUCAGGAGAACUAACAGGAGGCUGUGAGGAACUCCCCCCAAAUAAUGAGGAAGCUGGAGAAUAAGACCAGCCUGGUCCAACUAAUGGCUGUUCCGUUGGAGGCACAGGAGUGCAGAGGCAGCGAGGCCUGCAGAAGACCCCUCGCUGCGCUGGGUGGCAACUCCAGUGAAAAGCUGCUAAUCAAACACAUCUGAAUUCACACUGUUUUAAAAAUAAGUCUGUAAAGGCAAAACAGGUUAAUAGUAUUUUGACACUAAGCUUGUAGUUAUAACAGAUACUUUAAAAGGUCAAUCCCAGUUACCACGGUGACUGCAGCUCAGGCACCGCAGAAGUGCGUGAAGAUGAGAGUGAGGGAGCCGCAGCCCGGAAGGGUGGGUCCCAAAGUCUCACUGGCUGAUAGGGUUUGGCUGUGUCCCCACCCAAAUCUCACCUUGAAUUGUAGGUUCCAUAAUCCCCACGUGUUGUGGGAGGGACCUGGUGGGAGGUAAUUGAAUUAUAGGGGCGGGUUUCUCCCGUGCUGUUGUUGUGAUAGUGAAUAAGUCUCACAAAAUCCGAUGGUUAUAUAAAGGGCAGUUCCCCUGCACACACUCUGUCACCUGCCGCCCUGUAAGAUGUGUCUUUGCUCCUCCUUUGCCUUCCAUCAUGAUUGUGAGGCCUCCCCAGCCGUGUGGAACUGUGAGUCCAUUAAACCUCUUUUUCUUUAUAAAU